rnacentral:misc_RNA from 1 species
AGUCGUCAAAUGACAAAUUGGCAAGUGUGGGGAGAUAUGUGACGAAGGAAUGGUAUGUGCUUUACUCACGGUCUCUCUGUGUACAAGGAGGACGAUUCCAUGUGUUCAAGAUACAAGGGUAUCGGAAAAAGAAGAGGAGCAUUGCCCGCCCACUGCAGUUUUGGCUGGCGAG